AGGACUCAAAACCCAUAGGAGGACUCAACGACCCCCGCUGGAGGACUCAACACCCAUAGAAGGAUCCAAUGACCCCCAUAGGAGGACUCAAAACCUGUUGGAGGACCCAAUGACCCCCGCUGGAGGACUCAACACCCAUAGGAGGAUCUAAUGACCCCCAUAGGAGGACUCAAAACCUGUUGGAGGACUCAACAACCCCCCGUAGGAGGACUCCAAACCCCUUGGAGGACCAACGACCCCCAUAGGAGAACUCAACACCCAUAGAAAGACUCCAAACCCCCUUGGAGGACCCACCGACGCCCAUAGGAGUACCCAACACCCACAGGACGACUCAAAACCCCUCGGAGGACCCAACAACCCCCAUAGAACAACUCAAAACCCACUGGAGGACCCAACAACCCCCAUAAGAGGACUCAACACCCAUAGGAGGACUCCAAACCCCCUUGGAGGACCCAACGACCCACAUAGGAGGACCCAACACCCACAGGACGACUCAAAACCCCUCGGAGGACCCAGCGACCCCCAUAGAACAACUCAACGCCCACAGGAGGACCCAACAACCCCCAUAGGAGGACUCCAAACCCCUUGGAGGACCCAACAACUCCCAUAG
rnacentral:lncRNA from 1 species